rnacentral:lncRNA from 1 species
AUCCUGGCCCAUUUCUACCUACAUUCUCCAACUUGCUUCACCUAUGAAAUGCGUGUCUCUGUUGGAUUAUCGUGGAGUAAGGUUUCCAAACACAGCAGAGAUUCCUGAAGCCUGAGGCAGUGCAGAUCUCCUGGAAUCCCAAAAUUAUGACCUGCUUAACCAAAGUUCAUUUUCAAGUGGCCACAGACGAGAGCAACUACUUCACGGAGUGCAGGACACCAGCAAGGAUGCAACAGUGACAGACACUGUCACACUGGGAAAAUGACCCGAACUCCGUCCUUACCAGGAUGUAGAAUGCUGAGGAGUUUUGAGACAAACAAUUGUACUAAAGAAGUGGAAACAUCCUGAUGAAGACAUCAAGACAGCAGUAGGUAAAUCCCAGAGCAAGAGGCAGGACCUGCUGGCAGCUGAGUGCCCAGGCAGGGUUGCAGCUUUAGGAG